GAUGAACGCUAGCGGCAGGCCUAACACAUGCAAGUCGAGGGGCAGCACAGAAACAGCAAUGUUUUGGUGGCGACCGGCGGACGGGUGCGUAACGCGUACGCAACCUACCUUUAACAGGGGGAUAACGGAGAGAAAUUUCCACUAAUACCCCAUAACAUCGGUCAAGGCAUCUUGAUUGGUUGAAAACUCCGGUGGUUAAAGAUGGGCAUGCGUUGUAUUAGGUAGUUGGUGAGGUAAUGGCUCACCAAGCCUACGAUACAUAGGGGGACUGAGAGGUUAGCCCCCCACACUGGUACUGAGACACGGACCAGACUCCUACGGGAGGCAGCAGUGAGGAAUAUUGGUCAAUGGGGGCAACCCUGAACCAGCCAUGCCGCGUGCAGGAAGACGGCUCUAUGAGUUGUAAACUGCUUUUAAACAGGGAUAAAGCACAGUAUGUAUACUGUGUUGAAGGUACUGUAAGAAUAAGGAUCGGCUAACUCCGUGCCAGCCGCCGCAGUAA
rnacentral:rRNA from 1 species